CUCGCGAUAGUUUAAAUCAAAACAUUAGCUUUGCAAGUUAAUAAUGGAGCAAAUCUCCUCGAGUGA
rnacentral:tRNA from 1 species